ensembl:snRNA U6 U6 spliceosomal RNA
GUGCUCGCUUCGGCAGCACAUAUACUAAAAUUGGAACGAUACAGAGAUUAGCAUGGCCCCUGCACAAGGAUGACACGCAAAUUUGUGAAGCGUUCCAUAUUUUU